rnacentral:rRNA from 1 species
AUGGAUAAAUACAUACACUUGACGUUCUUACUUUUAUUCUCAGUUGAUCUUGUUAUUACAAGAUACCCCGAAAUUCUCUCUAUUGAUCCGAGAAUAUCUUGUGCCUACUGUCUUGCAAUUCCUUGUCACCUGGAUACCCCUAUGGAUAAUUCUCGCACUUGUCGAGUAUCCGCUUAUCCCAAGUUGUUCAUGAGUUUCACAAAAGUCUUCAAAAUAAUAUUCGAUCUUCCGAAAAUCCUUUGGAGCCUUUGGCUCUUGAAAUUCUUGCUUGCUUGCAUUAUGGAUAAUCCCAUAAGUCUCGUAGUCAUAUUGACAUUCCUUGUCAUUACCAUUUUGAGUCUGUUGACUCAAUAUGUUUGCGAAUACACGCAAUCAUCAUUGAUCCUUAUAAAUUACUUUUCCGGCUGA